rnacentral:lncRNA from 1 species
CUCGGAGGACUUGUUGCUGCUGCGCUGCCGCCGCUGCGGGGAAGCCGGCUAUUCCGGGGCUUGGUGCGGUCUUGGAGCCGGAGGGUGGCCCGUGUGAGCGCGAGCGCCCCGGACCUUCGCGGUGCGCGUGGACUGUGCGCUUCCUCGUCUUUGGUCGGGGUGAAGGCGGGGGCGUGUCCCCGGCCCAGAGCGUUUGUGUGUCCCGUCGUAGCGGGGGACCGCGUGUGUGCUUGCUUCUACUUCCCCGGGUCCUCCCUCUCUGCGCCUCCCUCUCUCCGGAGCUUCCUGCCCUAACCCCAACCACCUGUGUACCGGAGAAAUCCAACUCCUCCCGCUCCG